CCAACACUUGCAGAGAUCCUAUGUUUGGAGAAGCAGUGUGGUUCAACAAAUGUAAGUUCUCAUUCUGGCUCUGUAAUUGCUGAGCUAUGUGAUCCUGGAUAUGACACUUAAUCUUGCUAUACUUCAAUUUCUUACCUAUAAAAUGGGAAAUAGCUACUUAAUAUGGCUUCAGUGAGAUCAUGUAAAAUGAUUAAGAUAAUGUCUGUCAUAUAGUGCUUAAUAAAUGUUGGCCAUGAUUAUCAUCUUUUCAUGAUCCCUGUGAAGUCAGCAUUGUUUACCCCAUUUUUAGAAGAGCAAAUGGACGUUAUGAGAGUUUUUCUUUCCUAUGACCAUUACUCUGUUCCCAGGAAUGUUUUCAAAUUGCCUGAUCUAAUCUGUUGUACUUUAAAACCAACUGGCUCCUCUCAUGUUAUAAAUGUUUAUUAGUCUGAUUAAAUAAAUUUACAUUUAAA
rnacentral:lncRNA from 1 species